CCAGUACCUCCAACUCCCAGUAAGGCAGCACCCCAACACCCCAUUAUCCCAGCACCCCACAAUCCCAGUAUACCAGUCCUCCAGUCCCCCAGUACCCCACAAUCCCAGAACACCAGGCCUCCAGAACCCCAAUAUUACUUUGUUCCCCCAGUAUCCCAGCACCCCAAUCCUCCAGCAUCCCAGCAACCCAGUCCUCCAGCAACAGAUCCUCCGGGAUCCCAACACCCCAGUCCUCCAGCAUCCCAGCAACCCAGUCCUCCAGCACCCCAGUCCUCCAGCAUCUCAAUAUCCUGACACCUCAGUCCUCCAGCAUCUCAGUAACCCAGUCCUCCAGCAUCUUGGUAUUCUGGAACCCCAGUCCUCCAGCAUCUCAGUAUCCUGGCACCUCAGUCCUCCAGCUUCCCAGCAGCCCAGAAUUCCAGUAUUCUGGCACCCCAGUCCUCCAGCAUCUCAGUGUCCUGGCACCUCAGUCCUCCGGGAUCCCAGCAAUCCAGUCCUCCAGCAUCUUGGUAUUCUGGAACCCCAAACCUCCAGCAUCUCAAUAUCCUGGCACCUCAGUCCUGCAGCAUCGCAGCAUCCCAACAACCCAGUCCUCCAGCACCCCAGUAUUCUGGCACCCCAGUCCCCCAGCAUCUCAAUAUCCUGACACCUCAGUCCUCCAGCAUCCCAGCAACCCAGUCCUCCAGCAUCCCAAUAUCCCGGCACCCCAGUCCUCCACCAUCUCUGUAUCCCGGCACCCCAGCCCCCCCAGUCCUCCACCAUCUCGAUAUAUCCCGACACCCCAGUCCUCCAGCAUCCCGUUAUCCCAAUAUCCCAGUCCUCCAGCACCCCUCUACCCCCUCCCCCCCCCUCCUUCCCAUCUCCCCCUCACAUGGCGGCUCCGUUCCCCUCCGCUGCGCUUCAGCUCCUCCGCUCACACGCGCUUCUCCCCUCUCACUUCCGCUUCCGGGUCACUCUAACGCUCCAGGGUAACCACUUCCGGCUCAGAGCGCGGGAAGACAGGGAGGGCGACCUGCGCAUGCGCGGGAGUGAGAUGAGGGGCGUGGCCUAAGGGGGAAAAGGGGCGUGGCCUGGGGGAGGCCACGGAGGCAGACUGGGAGGGA
ensembl:lncRNA